GAUGAACGAGGGAGGGGGGAAGAAUACAUGCAAGUCGAGCGAACGGACGAGAAGCUUGCUUCUCUGAUGUUAGCGGCGGACGGGUGAGUAACACGUGGAUAACCUACCUAUAAGACUGGGAUAACUUCGGGAAACCGGAGCUAAUACCGGAUAAUAUUUUGAACCGCAUGGUUCAAAAGUGAAAGACGGUCUUGCUGUCACUUAUAGAUGGAUCCGCGCUGCAUUAGCUAGUUGGUAAGGUAACGGCUUACCAAGGCAACGAUGCAUAGCCGACCUGAGAGGGUGAUCGGCCACACUGGAACUGAGACACGGUCCAGACUCCUACGGGAGGCAGCAGUAGGGAAUCUUCCGCAAUGGGCGAAAGCCUGACGGAGCAACGCCGCGUGAGUGAUGAAGGUCUUCGGAUCGUAAAACUCUGUUAUUAGGGAAGAACAUAUGUGUAAGUAACUGUGCACAUCUUGACGGUACCUAAUCAGAAAGCCACGGCUAACUACGUC
rnacentral:rRNA from 1 species